CCUACGGGGGGCAGCAGUGGGGAAUAUUGGACAAUGGGCGAAAGCCUGAUCCAGCCAUGCCGCGUGUGUGAAGAAGGCCUUCGGGUUGUAAAGCACUUUCAGUGGGGAAGAAAGCCUUGGGGCUAAUACCCUCGAGGAAGGACAUCACCCACAGAAGAAGCACCGGCUAACUCCGUGCCAGCAGCCGCGGUAAUACGGAGGGUGCGAGCGUUAAUCGGAAUUACUGGGCGUAAAGCGCGCGUAGGCGGUCUGAUAAGCCGGUUGUGAAAGCCCCGGGCUCAACCUGGGAACGGCAUCCGGAACUGUCAGGCUAGAGUGCAGGAGAGGAAGGUAGAAUUCCCGGUGUAGCGGUGAAAUGCGUAGAGAUCGGGAGGAAUACCAGUGGCGAAGGCGGCCUUCUGGACUGACACUGACGCUGAGGUGCGAAAGCGUGGGUAGCAAACAGGAUUAGAUACCUUGUAGU
rnacentral:rRNA from 1 species